rnacentral:sRNA from 1 species
GGCGUCGGCGUCGGUGGCGGCGGCGACGGCGGCGCGGAGGCGAAGGCAGCGGCGGGCGCAGCGAGGAGGGCGAGGCCGGGGGCCGAGAGGGCGGGAGGGCGUAGUGGCGGCCCGUCGGGGCGGCUGAGGCGGGCAGCUGAAGCAGUGGCUCUCGGAGGGGGAACAAAGAGCAGCGACUAAGGCGGCAGAGGAGCGGCGGCGGUGGCGGCGCUGCAGCAGCGGGCGGAACUGGUAUGGUGGUUCCACAGGUCAGACCCCGCUGCACUCACAGGGAGGAGGAGGCGGCAGCGGCGGAGGAAGGCGGCGCACCCCGAGAGGAAAAGUCAGAAGCUUAAGCGCAUCUUUGUGGUCACUAACUCACCUGACAGCUUUGCAUUUGAGU